UACGAACCGUACAAACGUUAUUCGGAAUCACUGGGCUUAAAGGGUGCGUAGGCGGCCAUGUAAGUGAGGUGUGAAAUCCCUCGGCUCAACCGAGGAACUGCGCUUCAUACUGCAUGGCUUGAGGGAGACAGGGGUAAGCGGAACUGAUGGUGGAGCGGUGAAAUGCGUUGAUAUCAUCAGGAACACCGGUGGCGAAGGCGGCAUCCUGGACCGGCACUGACGCUGAUGAGCGAAAGCCAGGGGAGCAAACGGG
rnacentral:rRNA from 1 species